CGCAGCCGCGGUAAUUCCAGCUCCAAUAGCGUAUAUUAAAGUUGUUGCAGUUAAAAAGCUCGUAGUUGAACCUCGGGAUCAAUGGGUCGGUCAUGCCAAUGGUAUGUACUGGCCUCAUUGGUUCUCACCUUCUAAGGAACCGUGAUGUCAUUCAUUUGAUGUUGCGGGGAAUUAGGACUGUUACCUUGAAAAAAUUAGAGUGUUUAAAGCAGGCCAACGCUUGAAUACAUUAGCAUGGAAUAAUGAAAUAGGACAUCGCAUUCUAUUUUGUUGGUUUCUAGGAUCGAUGUAAUGAUUAAUAGGGAUAGUUGGGGGCAUUAGUAUUCAAUUGUCAGAGGUGAAAUUCUUGGAUUUAUUGAAGACUAACUACUGCGAAAGCAUUUGCCAAGGAUGUUUUCAUUAAUCAAGAACGAAAGUUAGGGGAUCGAAGACGAUCAGAUACCGUCGUAGUCUUAACCAUAAAACUAUGCCGACUAGGGAUCGGAUGAUGUUGUAUUUUUUAAUGUAC
rnacentral:rRNA from 1 species